GUGUCCUGACCUCAUUCUGGCUCUUCCCCUCACCGAAGCUGUGGUGGUGGGGUCUGGGGGUGGACGCAGAUCAACUUACCCUCUCAAGUUAGGAGGGUUGCUGAAGAUAUUUGCAAACCCUUAAAGGCAAGAGAGGACAUC
ensembl:scaRNA small Cajal body-specific RNA 11